AGGGUUUGAUCAUGGCUCAGAAUGAACGCUGGCGGCAUGCCUAACACAUGCAAGUCGAACGAAGGCUUCGGCCUUAGUGGCGCACGGGUGCGUAACGCGUGGGAAUCUGCCCUCAGGUUCGGAAUAACAGCGAGAAAUUGCUGCUAAUACCGGAUGAUAUCGCGAGAUCAAAGAUUUAUCGCCUGAGGAUGAGCCCGCGUAGGAUUAGCUAGUUGGUGUGGUAAAGGCGCACCAAGGCGACGAUCCUUAGCUGGUCUGAGAGGAUGAUCAGCCACACUGGGACUGAGACACGGCCCAGACUCCUACGGGAGGCAGCAGUGGGGAAUAUUGGACAAUGGGCGAAAGCCUGAUCCAGCAAUGCCGCGUGAGUGAUGAAGGCCUUAGGGUUGUAAAGCUCUUUUACCCGGGAUGAUAAUGACAGUACCGGGAGAAUAAGCUCCGGCUAACUCCGUGCCAGCCGCCGCGGUAAUAC
rnacentral:rRNA from 1 species